CCUUAACCUGGCCUUGACAUACUAAGAACUUCCAGAGAUGGAUUGGUGCCUUCGGGAACUUAGAUACAGGUGCUGCAUGGCUGUCGUCAGCUCGUGUCGUGAGAUGGUUGGGUUAAGUCCCGCAACGAGCGCAACCCUUUUCCUUAUUGCCAGCGGGUUAAGCCGGGAACUUUAAGGAUACUGCCAGUGACAAACUGGAGGAAGGCGGGGACGACGUCAAGUCAUCAUGGCCCUUACGGCCAGGGCUACACACGUGCUACAAUGGUCGGUACAAAGGGUUGCUACCUCGCGAGAGGAUGCUAAUCUCAAAAAGCCGAUCGUAGUCCGGAUCGCAGUCUGCAACUCGACUGCGUGAAGUCGGAAUCGCUAGUAAUCGCGGAUCAGAAUGCCGCGGUGAAUACGUUCCCGGGCCUUGUACACACCGCCCGUCACACCAUGGGAGUUUGUUGCACCAGAAGUAGGUAGUCUAACCGCAAGGAGGACGCUUACCACGGUGUGGCCGAUGACUGGGGUGAAGUCGUAACAAGGUAAGCGUAGAUGA
rnacentral:rRNA from 1 species